rnacentral:rRNA from 1 species
ACAGGGAUUGCCUCAGUAACGGCGAGUGAAGCGGCAACAGCUCAAAUUUGAAAUCUGGCUCCUUCGGGGCCCGAGUUGUAAUUUGCAGAGGAUGCGUCGGGUACGGGUGCCUUCCGAGUUCCCUGGAACGGGACGCCAUAGAGGGUGAGAGCCCCGUCUGGUAGGACACCCAGCCCGUGUGACGCUCCCUCGACGAGUCGAGUAGUUUGGGAAUGCUGCUCUAACGGGAGGUAUACUCCUUCCAAGGCUAAAUACCGGCUGGAGACCGAUAGCGCACAAGUAGAGUGAUCGAAAGAUGAAAAGCACUUUGAAAAGAGAGUCAAACAGCACGUGAAAUUGUUAAAAGGGAAGCGCUCGCUACCAGACUUGGGUUCGGCGGUUCAACCGGGGCCACGCCCCGGGGCAUUCCGCCGGCCCAGGCCAGCAUCAGCUUUCCGUCGGGGGUAAAGGCGUCGGGAAUGUGGCUCCCCUUCGGGGGAGUGUUAUAGCCCGUCGUGUCAUACCCUUCGGGGGGCUGAGGUACGCGCUUCUGCAAGGAUGCUGGCGUAAUGGUAGCUAGUGACCCGUCUUGAAACACGGACCAAGGAGUCAACCUUAUGUGCGAGUGCCCGGGCGUAAAACCCCAGCGCGGAAUGAAAGUGAACGUAGGUGAGAGCUUCGGCGCAUCACCGACCGAUCCUGAUGUCCUCGGACGGAUUUGAGUGAGAGCAUAUAGGGUUGGACCCGAAAGAAGAUGAACUAUGCGUGUGUAGGGUGAAGCCAGAGGAAACUCUGGUGGAGGCUCGCAGCGGUUCUGACGUGCAAAUCGAUCGUCAAACAUGCGCAUGGG